rnacentral:lncRNA from 1 species
UGAUAUUAUGUUAGAUUUAUUUCUUUUCUUGUGUUAUUUCGAACAUGGUUAUUGUAGAUGUUUUGUAUGCACCGGGCAUACGGCGGGUCUGUAUACGUACUGGGUAGGCUUCCGCUGGGGCCUGGGCAUGACACAUAUUGUCCUCAUCAGGUUAGAGGUGAGAAUUUUUAAGAAAAUUGUAUUGGUUUUUAAAGUAGAGUUGAUUGUUUGUAGAUUAUUAUGUUCUCUUAAUAUAACUUGUUGUAUUUUGUCUAUAUUUGGUAG